UGGGGAAUAUUGGACAAUGGGGGCAACCCUGAUCCAGCAAUGCCGCGUGUGUGAAGAAGGUUUUCGGAUUGUAAAGCACUUUCGACGGGGACGAUGAUGACGGUACCCGUAGAAGAAGCCCCGGCUAACUUCGUGCCAGCAGCCGCGGUAAUACGAAGGGGGCUAGCGUUGCUCGGAAUGACUGGGCGUAAAGGGCGUGUAGGCGGUUUGUACAGUCAGAUGUGAAAUCCCCGGGCUUAACCUGGGAGCUGCAUUUGAUACGUGCAGACUAGAGUGUGAGAGAGGGUUGUGGAAUUCCCAGUGUAGAGGUGAAAUUCGUAGAUAUUGGGAAGAACACCGGUGGCGAAGGCGGCAACCUGGCUCAUAACUGACGCUGAGGCGCGAAAGCGUGGGGAGC
rnacentral:rRNA from 1 species